rnacentral:rRNA from 1 species
CCCUACGGGUGGCUGCAGUGAGGAAUAUUGGUCAAUGGGCGAGAGCCUGAACCAGCCAAGUCGCGUGAGGGAGUACUGCCCUAUGGGUUGUAAACCUCUUUUGUCGGGGAGCAAAAGCCGGACGUGUCCGUCUGUGAGAGUACCCGCAGAAAAAGCAUCGGCUAACUCCGUGCCAGCAGCCGCGGUAAUACGGAGGAUGCGAGCGUUAUCCGGAUUGAUUGGGUUUAAAGGGUGCGCAGGCUGAUUUUUAAGUCAGCGGUCAAAUCGUGGGGUUCAACCCCAUCCAGCCGUUGAAACUGGGGAUCUAGAGUGUGCGAGAGGUAUGCGGAAUGCGUGGUGUAGCGGUGAAAUGCAUAGAUAUCACGCAGAACCCUGAUUGCGAAGGCAGCAUACCGGUGCACAACUGACGCUCAGGCACGAAAGCGUGGGUAUCGAACAGGAUUAGAUACCCGAGUAGUC